AGGUUCACGCUUCUGCUACCUUCGUUAUCGUCCAUGGAGUCUUCGUCUUCGUCAAAUUUUCUUUCUCAUUGGAAUUAUCUAAAUUUUCUACUAUUCCGUCCGGUUAUCGCUAUCAUUUUCGUCCUCUCCUUCAUCAUACUCUGGUGGUUGUUGGCAUGGAAGUUGGUUCUGGUACACGUGCCACUGGUUCAAGAAAUUUUCGGUCUGAAGAAAAAAAGGGCUAAAUCUAAGCCGCCGCCUCGUCGAUUUUCCAGAUAUUAUAACAGCAUCAAUGCUCAUAAUUCGAAUUCUCAAUAGAUGAUAGCAGCCCCAGAGCUCUGUAAACCAAUCCUGGCAGUGUAACAUAAUAAAAAACAAAAGACAUCUCAGAGCUACAGAAGAUUUAAAUUCUCAAUUCCUUAAUGCUUUGGAGAAUGAAAAAGGGAUCUCAGUUGUCAUAGCAAAAUAAAAUUUCGUUAAUAAUAGGUUGAUGUAAAUAGAGGAAUUGAUGUUCAAGAAUGUUGUUUUUGCCUUUUUUCAAUUGAUAGUCAAUGGUUGUAAAGAAUUUGGUUAUUGAAAAUAUAUGAUGAUUUUUAAGAAGUUUAUCCUCUCUUGUUCCAUUUGAAAUGGAGUUAUUCCCUCAACUCUAGCAGUGGUAGUAUUCAUUUAUGUAAUUGAAAUUAGCUUUG